GGAGUUGCUCUUAGUCACUGGAAUCAAACGGGAUACUUUAGCGACUAAAUUUUAGUUAGUGACUAAAGAACCAAACAAGGCCUUAUCUAUAAUUCUAUAUCUACCAUGGUCUACUCUAGUAUCUAGGUGAAAUAGGAGAAACGGAUGUUGCAAUGGUUUCCCCAAAAGAUUACAGAACCUUUUUUUUUUUGCCGGCAUGUCUAAUGAUAAUUGUACAGUAUACAGUGCGGAUAACAUGGGAAAGACAAGGAUCACCACCCACUGGCCAUGAUUCUCUACCGCUUCUCCUUGGUCCUCUUGCCUACUCCAUCAUAUCAGCACCCACGGUCCCCACAGCGCUGCCUCGAGCCACCUCAGCGUCACGCGGCUGAUGAUGGAGGGCACCGCAGCGCACUCGAUGCCACGCGGGGUCGAAGCAUGCGCGGGGAGGGCCCACGUCCGUCCAUCCUCGACGAGCGGGCCAUGAGCGCGGACCGCCAGACCGGGUCCACCUCGCCGUCGGCGGCCGCGGCGAGCCACGCGUCGACGCCCUCGAGGAGCGCGCGCCUGCCGGGCGGCGGCGACACCAGCCGGUCCCCCGGCACGCCGAUGGCCGCGGCGCCCCCGUCGACGAGGGAGCGGAAGAAGACGUCGCGCAGCUCCCGUGACGACCCAGCGGCGGACACGCCCAGCCCGCCGCGGCACUUCUGCCAGGGGAACUGGAACACCCCCGGUGGCCGCCGCGACGCCUCGCCCGCCCCCGCCGCGGCCUCCUCCUCCUCCUCCUCCUCCUCCUCCUCCUCCUCGAAGGGGAAGUCCGGCUGCGCGGGCGCGGCAUGGAUCUCCUCCUCCCUCGCGCGCUUCGCAUUGCGCUCCGGCGGCCGCUGGUCCAUGCACGCACUGCGCCGCGUCACAACAAGAGCCAUGCCCUACGCGUGCGUCAGCAUUGGAUGGUGGUACUACCUCCUACCUCGUACGGUCGAGAAGACAGCGGAGAGCAGGAUCGGAUGGGAGAGGUUUUGCGCGCUGCCUGGCGAGGUGGUGUCGAUGGUAGACGGUAGACGGAGGACAUG
rnacentral:misc_RNA from 1 species